UACGUAGGAGGCAAGCGUUGUCCGGAAUCACUGGGCGUAAAGCGCGUGUAGGUGGAAGAGGAAGUCUGCUGUGAAAGCGCCUGGCUUAACCGGGCGAGGUCGGUGGAAACUCCUCAUCUGGAGGGCGGUAGAGGGGGGUGGAAUUCCGGGUGUAGUGGUGAAAUGCGUAGAGAUCCGGAGGAACACCUGUGGCGAAGGCGGCCCCCUGGGCCGCACCUGACGCUGAGGCGCGAGAGCGUGGGGAGCGAACCGG
rnacentral:rRNA from 1 species